GUGGGGAAUAUUGCGCAAUGGCCGAAAGGCUGACGCAGCGACGCCGCGUGGGGGAUGAAGCAUUUCGGUGUGUAAACCCCUGUUGCCCGGGACGAACAAGCGAUUUCGAUCGCUCUGACGGUACCGGGUGAGGAAGCACCGGCUAACUCCGUGCCAGCAGCCGCGGUAAUACGGAGGGUGCGAGCGUUGUCCGGAAUCACUGGGCGUAAAGGGCGCGUAGGCGGUGACUUAAGCGUGGGGUGAAAGCCCGGGGCUCAACCCCGGGUCUGCCGUGCGAACUGGGUCACUCGAGCACUGUAGAGGCAGGUGGAAUUCCGGGUGUAGCGGUGGAAUGCGUAGAGAUCCGGAAGAACACCGGUGGCGAAGGCGGCCUGCUGGGCAGUAGCUGACGCUGAGGCGCGACAGCGUGGGGAGCAAACAGGAUUAGAAACCGGGUAGUCC
rnacentral:rRNA from 1 species